rnacentral:rRNA from 1 species
UAGGGAAUCUUCCACAAUGGACGCAAGUCUGAUGGAGCAACGCCGCGUGAGUGAAGAAGGCUUUCGGGUCGUAAAACUCUGUUAUUGAAGAAGAACGUGCGUGACAGUAACUGGUCAUGCAGUGACGGUAUUCAAUCAGAAAGUCACGGCUAACUACGUGCCAGCAGCCGCGGUAAUACGUAGGUGGCAAGCGUUGUCCGGAUUUAUUGGGCGUAAAGCGAGUGCAGGCGGUCUUUUAAGUCUGAUGUGAAAGCCUUCGGCUUAACCGAAG